UUGAGGCGGCCACAGCGGCGGGGCAACACCCAUACCCAUCCCGAACACGGACGUUAAGCCCGCCUGCGUUCCGGCGAGUACUGGAGUGGGCGACCCUCUGGGAAAUCCGGUUCGCCGCCUCACCA
rnacentral:rRNA from 1 species